GGAGUAAGCAGCACGACCAGUGGUACGCGCCGUGCGCAAUUGAAAGCGCGGCAGCAAAAGCAGGUCAGAAGUCCCCGAAAGCAGGCGGUGAGACAAAAACAGUAGAGAUGAAUAUUUGUCGCAUUCGCACCAAUGCCGAUAGCGUAAGCGCACACAUGACAAAGAGUAAGAAAGAAAUAGAUAAAAAAAAUAAUCAAUUUUAAACGUUGAAUUUUUUUUUACGGGAACAAAUAAAUCAUUUUGUAUGCCGAAAAACCGUGUACAAGAACUCGAAACUGGGCCCUGAUAAUCAUAUAUGACUGAUUACGGUGACGAGAAUCGUUACUUACACGCAAAGUUAACUUUUAUACGCAAAACAAAUUCCCGUCUUCAACUACACAAAUAACUGAAAAUUUUGUUAACGAAGCCAC